CUACGGGUCGCAGCAGUGAGGAAUAUUGCACAAUGGGGGGAACCCUGAUGCAGCAACGCCGCGUGGAGGAUGACGCAUUUCGGUGUGUAAACUCCUUUUAUAUGUCAAGAAAAUGACGGUAGCAUAUGAAUAAGCACCGGCUAACUCCGUGCCAGCAGCCGCGGUAAUACGGAGGGUGCAAGCGUUACUCGGAAUCACUGGGCGUAAAGGACGCGUAGGCGGGUUGGAAAGUCAGGUGUGAAAUACUACAGCUUAACUGUAGAACUGCACUGGAAACUUCUAAUCCAGAGUAUGGGAGGGGGAGAUGGAAUUAGUGGUGUAGGGGUAAAAUCCGUAGAUAUCACUAGGAAUACCUAAAGCGAAGGCGAUCUCCUGGAACAUUACUGACGCUAAGGCGUGAAAGCGUGGGGAGCAAACAGGAUUAGAUACCCUCGUAGUC
rnacentral:rRNA from 1 species